rnacentral:rRNA from 1 species
AAGGAGAGUAUCCUAAGGUGAGCGAGAGAACUAUGGUUAAGGAACUCGGCAAAAUGACCCCGUAACUUCGGGAGAAGGGGUGGUCUAGCGAUAGACCCGCAGUGAAUAGGCCCAGGCAACUGUUUACCAAAAACACAGGUCUCUGCUAACACGUAAGUGGAUGUAUAGGGGCUGACGCCUGCCCAGUGCUGGAAGGUUAAAGAGAUUAGUUAGUAUGACGUAAGUCGAUAAUACGAAGCUUUGAACUGAAGCCCCAGUGAACGGCGGCCGUAACUAUAACGGUCCUAAGGUAGCGAAAUUCCUUGUCAGGUAAGUUCUGACCCGCACGAAAGGCGUAAUGAUCUGGGUACUGUCUCAACCAUAGACUCGGUGAAAUCUUAAUACCUGUGAAAAUGCAGGUUACCCGCGACUGGACGGAAAGACCCCGUGGAGCUUUACUGUAGCUUGAUAUUGGAAUUCGGUAAACUAUGUAGAGCAUAGGUGGGAGACUAUGAGAUUAAGGCGCCAGCCUUAAAGGAGUCACCAUUGGAAUACCACCCUUAGUUUAUUGGAUUUCUAACCUAGGACCAUAAUCUGGUUCAGGGACAGUGUCUGGUGGGCAGUUUGACUGGGGCGGUCGCCUCCUAAAGAGUAACGGAGGCGUUCAAAGGUUCCCUCAGAAUGGUUGGAAAUCAUUCAAAGAGCAUAAAGGUAUAAAGGGAGCUUGACUGCAAGACCUACAAGUCAAGCAGGUGCGAAAGCAGGACUUAGUGAUCAGGCGAUUCAGAAUGGAAUGGUCGUCGCUUAACGGAUAAAAGUUACCCCGGGGAUAACAGGCUGAUACCACCCAAUAGUUCACAUAGACGGUGGUGUUUGGCACCUCGAUGUCGGCUCGUCAUAUCCUGGAGGUGGAGUCGCUUCCAAGGGUUGGGCUGUUCGCCCAUUAAAAUGGCACGCGAGCUGGGUUCAGAACGUCGUGAGACAGUUCGGUCCCUAUCCGUCGUGGGCGCAGGAAAAUUGAGGAGAGCUAUCCUUAGUACGAGAGGACCGGGAUGGACCUACCUCUGGUGUAUCUGUUGUCACGCCAGUGGCAGUGCAGAGUAGCUAUGUAGGGAAGGGAUAAACGCUGAAAGCAUCUAAGCGUGAAGCCCUCUCCAAGAUGAGUUUUCCCAUUGUUUAACAAGUAAAAUCCCAGAAAGACUAACUGGUAGAUAGGCUAGAAGUGGAAGUGUAGUGAUACAUUGAGCGGACUAGUACUAAUAGAUUGAGGAUUUAAUCCC